rnacentral:misc_RNA from 1 species
GAUGAAGAACGCAGCGAAAUGCGAUACUUGGUGUGAAUUGCAGAAUCCCGUGAACCAUCGAGUCUUUGAACGCAAGUUGCGCCUCAAGCCAUUAGGUUGAGGGCACGUCUGCCUGGGCGUCACAUAUCGUUGCCUGAUGCCAGUUUCCUCGUGAUGGGUGACUGUGCAGGGCGAAUGAUGGCUUCCCGUCAGCAUUGUUGCCUCAUGGUUGGUUGAAAAUUGAGUCCUUGGUAGGGAGCGCCGUGAUAGAUGGUGGUUGAGUGACGAACGAGACCCAAUCAUGUGAGACCCCUACCGAAUUUGGCCUUCAUGACCCACAUGCGUCUUUGGAACGCUCAUGACGAGACCUCAGGUCAGGCGGGGCUACCCGCUGAGUUUAAGCAUAUCAAUAAGCGGAGGA